CCUCUUUAAAUGCCACUGGAAGUUUUAGUUAGGGGAGAGACAUUCUUUGAUAUAUCUGCUGAAUAGAGAAUAGAUUGUAAACGAAAGCAAGAAUAAAUAUAGGGAGGAAUUUAACCUAGAGAAAACUGAAAAUGGCUUGAACUAAAGUGGUAGCAAUGGAGAUAGUGAAAGGUGGCUGGAUUUGGAAUAUGUUUCAGAGGUAGAAUCCACAGUGUCAGCUGAUGAAUGGCAUGUGGGGGUAGGGUAGAGAGCUGAAGGGAAUGAAGGAGACAAAUCAUGGAUAAAAGUAAAGGACCAAAGGCCCAAAGAAUCAAGAGUAAUAGGUGAGUGGUGGUGCUAUCAGGUGAGGUAGGAAAGUUGGCAGAGGAUCAGGUUUUGAGCUUGAAAGUAAAUUUCUGUGCUGGGCAUGUUAAAUUUGAAUGCCUAUUAAACAUGCUGGACACAUUAAGUGAACAGCUCACAGGUUUGCAAGUUGAUAAGUAGGUUUGAACACGGGGAAAGGUCAUGGUUGGAGGUGUAAAUUUGGGAAUGCUUAGCACCUAGAUUGUAUUCAGAGUCAUGAUAAUGGUAUUUAGAGUUCUGUAGCUACAUGAUAAUGCUUUUAGGGAGGGGAGAAAGACCCAAUAAAGAAGACUAUGAGAGAGAAACCAAUAGAAAAAACCAUGGAGUCCGAUGUCAUAGAAGCCAAGAAGUAUACUGACAGUAUCACCUUUGAAGAAUUGCAUUGUGACCCUUUCAAGACAAGAAUGAGAACUCUGCAGUUGACAACGUGGCCUGAGGGAAGAAAAAGAGAAGGACAAUUACCAGGAUGCGGGAGUAGCACAUGUACCACACCACAUCAUUCCAGACACUACAUUCGCCCUUCCCAAUACCUCAUUUCCACCCUGUAUGCAUACGAAUAUUUCUUUCAAAGAUGAUAAAGAAGAAGGUAGCUAUUUUUGAAAGCUGA